rnacentral:rRNA from 1 species
UACAGAGGGUGCAAGCGUUGUCCGGAAUUAUUGGGCGUAAAGAGCUUGUAGGCGGUUUGUCGCGUCUGCUGUGAAAUUUCGGGGCUCAACCCCGAACUUGCAGUGGGUACGGGCAGACUAGAGUGUGGUAGGGGAGACUGGAAUUCCUGGUGUAGCGGUGAAAUGCGCAGAUAUCAGGAGGAACACCGAUGGCGAAGGCAGGUCUCUGGGCCAUAACUGACGCUGAGAAGCGAAAGCAUGGGGAGCGAACAGG